GAAAAGACUGACACUCAGAUGACCUGCAGACUCCAUAGGUCAGGAGUCUGGGAUUAAAUAGUCUGGUUUAAGAAGACCUUUUGGAGUCAGUGUAUUCAUCACUGGUCAUAGCUCCCAAGGGGAAGAACUACAGAUACUGAGUCCAGUCAGGCCUGCUGGGUAAUUAGGCUUUGAUUCUGUAACUGGAAGCAUGCUGGCAGAUUGCUGACCUGUGUGGAGUCCCACUGGUUUCAUGGAUGCAUCAAUUCACCCCACACAGCCAAUUACAGGAUCAGGGCCUAUCUACUCUCACAGACUUAAACCAGAAGGAAGAACUGUGGCUUAGCUGUAGAGCUCUGU